UCUAGACUGACAAGCAGUUGGAAGUGUGGUGACCGAGGGCAGAGCACAGGGUGCUGCUGUGUGGACCAUGCUCAGGGGCUGCCGAUGUUCAGGAGGAACCACUCGCCUGGACCCGUGAAAGGCUUCCGCCUCGGAGCUGGCAGGGCCACCAGAAAAUGCCGGAUGCAGAUGAGACUGGUUCAGAGAGUAUGAGAGGAGGUCU